rnacentral:rRNA from 1 species
AGGAUGGGGAUGCGUCUGAUUAGCUAGUUGGUGAGGUAACGGCCCACCAAGGCGACGAUUGGUAGCCGGACUGAGAGGUUGAACGGCCACAUUGGGACUGAGACACGGCCCAGACUCCUACGGGAGGCAGCAGUGGGGGAUAUUGCACAAUGGGGGAAACCCUGAUGCAGCGACGCCGCGUGGAGGAAGAAGGUUUUCGGAUUGUAAACUCCUGUCGUUAGGGACGAUAAUGACGGUACCUAACAAGAAAGCACCGGCUAACUACGUGCCAGCAGCCGCGGUAAAACGUAGGGUGCAAGCGUUGUCCGGAAUUACUGGGUGUAAAGGGAGCGCAGGCGGGAAGGCAAGUUGGAAGUGAAAACCAUGGGCUCAACCCAUGAAUUGCUCUCAAAACUGUUUUUCUUGAGUAGUGCAGAGGUAGAUGGAAUUCCCGGUGUAGCGGUGGAAUGCGUAGAUAUCGGGAGGAACACCAGUGGCGAAGGCGGUC